UCGUUUUAGCAUGCCUGACGGAAGGGCAGCUUGGUUUAAUAGUGGAAACAGGAAUGACAUCAGGGAUGCACCUGGAAGACCACCGAAGCCUGAACAAAGACGAAGCAUCUGGAGCCGAUUUUCUAGACACCAAUCACCCAGAAAUAAUGCAAAUAAGAGAGCAGAAUACAAG